AGUGAACGCUGGCGGUAGGCCUAAUACAUGCAAGUCGAACGGCAGCACAGUAAGAGCUUGCUCUUACGGUUGGCGAGUGGCGGGCGGGUGAGGAAUAGAUCGGCAUCUACUUUUUCGUGGGGGAUAACGUAGGGAAACUUAUGCUAAUACCGCAUACGAUCUACGGGUGAAAGCAGGGGAUCUUCGGACCUUGCGUGAUUGAAUGAGCCGAUGUCGGAUUAGCUAGUUGGCGUGGUAAAGGCCCACCAAGGCGACGAUCCGUAGCUGGCCUGAGAGGAUGAUCAGCCACACUGGAACUGAGACACGGUCCAGACUCCUACGGGAGGCAGCAGUAGGGAAUAUUGGGCAAUGGGCGCAAGCCUGAUCCAGCCAUGCCGCGUGAGUGAAGAAGGCCUUCGGAUUGUAAAGCCCUUUUGUUAGGAAAGAAAAGCAGCAGGUUAAUACCCCGCUGUUCUGACGGUACCCAAAGAAUAAGCACCGGCUAACUUCGUG
rnacentral:rRNA from 1 species